AGGAAUAUUGGUCAAUGGACGCGAGUCUGAACCAGCCAAGUAGCGUGAAGGAUGACUGCCCUAUGGGUUGUAAACUUCUUUUAUAUGGGAAUAAAGUUGUCCACGUGUGGAUUUUUGUAUGUACCAUAUGAAUAAGGAUCGGCUAACUCCGUGCCAGCAGCCGCGGUAAUACGGAGGAUCCGAGCGUUAUCCGGAUUUAUUGGGUUUAAAGGGAGCGUAGGCGGAUUGUUAAGUCAGUUGUGAAAGUUUGCGGCUCAACCGUAAAAUUGCAGUUGAUACUGGCAGUCUUGAGUGCAGUAGAGGUGGGCGGAAUUCGUGGUGUAGCGGUGAAAUGCUUAGAUAUCACGAAGAACUCCGAUUGCGAAGGCAGCUCACUGGAGUGUAACUGACGCUGAUGCUCGAAAGUGUGGGUAUCAAACAGGAUUAGAUACCCUGGUAGUCCACACAGUAAACGAUGAAUACUCGCUGUUUGCGAUAUACAGUAAGCGGCCAAGCGAAAGCAUUAAGUAUUCCACCUGGGGAGUACGCCGGCAACGGUGAAACUCAAAGGAAUUGACGGGGGCCCGCACAAGCGGAGGAACAUGUGGUUUAAUUCGAUGAUACGCGAGGAACCUUACCCGGGCUUAAAUUGCAAAUGAAUUAUGGGGAAACCCAUAGGCCGUAAGGCAUUUGUGAAGGUGCUGCAUGGUUGUCGUCAGCUCGUGCCGUGAGGUGUCGGCUUAAGUGCCAUAACGAGCGCAACCCUUAUCUUCAGUUACUAACAGGUCAUGCUGAGGACUCUGGAGAGACUGCCGUCGUAAGAUGUGAGGAAGGUGGGGAUGACGUCAAAUCAGCACGGCCCUUACGUCCGGGGCUACACACGUGUUACAAUGGGGGGUACAGAAGGCCGCUACCUGGUGACAGGAUGCCAAUCCCAAAAACCUCUCUCAGUUCGGAUCGAAGUCUGCAACCCGACUUCGUGAAGCUGGAUUCGCUAGUAAUCGCGCAUCAGCCAUGGCGCGGUGAAUACGUUCCCG
rnacentral:rRNA from 1 species